rnacentral:misc_RNA from 1 species
GAUGAAGAACGCAGCGAAAUGCGAUAAGUAAUGUGAAUUGCAGAAUUCAGUGAAUCAUCGAAUCUUUGAACGCACAUUGCGCCCGCCAGUAUUCUGGCGGGCAUGCCUGUUCGAGCGUCAUUUCAACCAUCAAGCCCUGCUUGCGUUGGGGUCCUGCGGCUGCCCGCAGGCCCUGAAAACCAGUGGCGGGCUCGCUAGUCACACCGAGCGCAGUAAUACAUCUCGCUUUGGGCGUGCGGCGGGUUCUUGCCGUUAAACACCCCCUUUUUACCAAGGUUGACCUCGGAUCAGGUAGGAAUACCCGCUGAACUUAAGCAUAUCAUAAGCGGAGGA